AUGCACAAUGCGAAACCUAGGCCCCAGCUUUUGCACCAUGAUGCACAGGGUUGUACUUUUUGUACUGAACUGAUAGGUGGCCUAGUGGUUAUGCCCUGUACUACCAUUUUGAGGAUCUGGACUCCGUUCCUGCCUUGCUCUUUGGACCAACCACAUUGUCAAUUCACACCGAGUGCAGGAAAAGUUCUAAUACUAUUUAUGUUAAAAAUAAAACGUCACCAUGUUGAACAGAUUAAGUGUCAAAGGCUCAACAUCACAAGGAGAAAAGCACUAACUCAAUUUUAAGAUAAUCGGUUGGUAUUAUUAACCUAAUUCUCAACUUUAAAAAAACCAGUUUGGUGAUGAACUUAAUUAGAAUUGUGCCAGAUUAGACCCACAGUUGAUAUAUAACAUAGAGCACCCUGUUAAAAAUAGAAAAGAUCAGAGAGCACUUACUUUGCCUGUCUGCUUUAUAAGUAAUCGGAACAUACUAGAUAAGGGUAUCUACUCUCCUUCUUUGUCAGCGGGCCAGGGUUUGUGGUCCUACCAUCAGUGGAAGUAGGAAAUAUUACAAGUUGUACGUGUUUUGACUUGACU
rnacentral:lncRNA from 1 species